rnacentral:rRNA from 1 species
AAGAUGAUGUAUAGGGGGUGACGCCUGCCCGGUGCUGGAAGAUUAAAUGAUGGGGUGCAAGCUCUUGAUUGAAGUCCCAGUAAACGGCGGCCGUAACAAUAACGGUCCUAAGGUAGCGAAAUUCCUUGUCGGGUAAGUUCCGACCUGCACGAAUGGCGUAACGACUUCCCAGCUGUCUCAACCGCGAACUCGGCGAAAUUGCACUACGAGUAAAGAUGCUCGUUACGCGCAGCAGGACGGAAAGACCCCGUGACCUUUACUACAGCUUGGUAUUGGUGUUCGGUUCGGUUUGUAGGAUAGGUGGGAGACUGU